UUUGUACAGAUUAUAAUUUGUAUUUCGAUUCAAUUAUUUGGUCAAGGGUUAAUAAUGUAGGAAAAAAAAAGUUAAAUUGCAAGCCCUUUAUAAAUUGGAAUUGGCAUCAAGUUGGGUGAGAUUUUGAGAAGUAUAAUAACUCUUUGGCUUUGUAGUCUUAUUAGUUAUUAUUAUUUAUCACGUCACGUGAUAUUCAUACUGAUAUAUGUGUUAGUAAUCAAACAAACACAUUAAAGCAUGCAUAAUGUUUCUUAAUUGUGAGUUAACAAUAAUAGUGGCAUUGUCCCCCGUGAGACAUAGAUUUGUAGUAACCGCCUUUUCCAUUGCCGCAUCCAUUGUGACACCAACGGUUGCAUCUCUGCUCGUCAUUGUUUGUGUUGCACUUUCCAAAUUUUGGGUGGCUAUUACAACACAAAGAACCACCACUCUCUACAUUAUAUAUCCUUCAACAUCUGCUACUAUCACACAUAAUUGAAACAGUUUUGUCUAAUACGAGUUCAUGAAAUUUUCUCAUUAAAGUAACAAAUUUGUAUUGAAACGCAAAAAUAAGUUUGUUAAAGUGUAAACACUUGAGAAAGUACUCCUAAUUAUAAGAGAGAAGACAUACCAAUAACUGAGAAAGUGAGAACAAUGAGCAAAGCAAAAGAAAAAACUUUCAAACUAGCCAUUGUUAAUAGUCUUUUUAGA
rnacentral:sRNA from 1 species